rnacentral:lncRNA from 1 species
GUUGGGGCCCUGCUGACCCUGGAGGGACUGCCCCUCCCAGGGUUAGCUAAUUCCAAGAGAUAGCACCAACUCGCCGAGGAGCCUGCUUUUCAAAUGCCAACCAACCAAUGCAGAGCCCACACCCCCAACCACCGCCUCUACUGGAUUCUCACUCUCUGGGCCACUAUCCACCUACCCUAGUCACUCCAAAACCAGCCACAAUGAAAGCUCUUGCCCUUGCCCCUGUUUCCCCCUCACUCCCUCUGCCUCCUGACCAACUCUGGAGCUUCCCUGUGUGGCCCUGCGUUGUGUGUCAUGCCUCCUGUUUCUAGGAAUCUAUGCAAAAUUAAAGAAGCUAAGAAUCCACUCAAGGUCACACAGCUGGUAAGUGACACAGCCAGAUUCAAAGCCAGGUCUGACUCCAAUGCCUGUGCUGAUUGCACCAUGCCAGUGAGUCUCAAAGCAGGACCGACAUCACCUGGAACUUGUUAGAAACACAAAUUCUGGGCCCCACCCCAGACCCAUCGAAUCAGGAACUCCAAGCUCUGAUAUGGUUGUCAGGAAUGUGGUGGAAACAAGCGAGAUUCUUGGAUAAAUAGCAUCUUCAGGGGUUAUUGCAGAAGGAAUGAAAUGAGAUAUUAUCGAAGAAAAGACUUCAUUGAAAGACUUUAAUUGCUAUGGUUUCCCUUGACCUAUGUUGAUACAUAAAUAUUUCACUUUUUACUACAUAUAACUAUGGAGAGUAUUUCAUUUCAUAGAAGAUCGUUAUGUUUUGUGCACUAGAUGUCAGUAGAGCUCUAUGGUUCAGCUAGUACAGCUACCCGACUGAGAUGAUCUGUGCUUGGAAAAUAAACUCCUUGUGCUUUUGCUUAUUUUGCGUUUCAUACCGAAUGGCCAUGAAUUUGUGUCCUCGCCUCACACCCACCCUCAUUUCCAUCCCACUAGAAUUCUGCUUUCAGCACAAUUUUCUGCCUUAUUGGAGCUUUAUUCCCUUCACUUUCUGGAGGAAUUCCGACAAAAUAAUUCUUUUUCAAGAGUUUCUUUAGAAAAUAUGAAAACCAAG